rnacentral:rRNA from 1 species
UCGGGAAUUUUGCGCAAUGGGCGAAAGCCUGACGCAGCAACGCCGCGUGAGGGAUGACGGCCUUCGGGUUGUAAACCUCUUUUGUCAGGGAAGAUGAUGACGGUACCUGGCGAAUAAGCCACGGCUAACUACGUGCCAGCAGCCGCGGUAAUACGUAGGUGGCAAGCGUUGUCCGGAUUUACUGGGCGUAAAGAGCGCGCAGGCGGUCGAUUUAGUCGCGUGUGAAAGCCCCCGGCUCAACUGGGGAGGGUCACGCGAUACUGAUCGACUCGAAGGCAGGAGAGGGUAGUGGAAUUCCCGGUGUAGUGGUGAAAUGCGUAGAUAUCGGGAGGAACACCAGUGGCGAAGGCGACUACCUGGCCUGUUCUUGACGCUGAGGCGCGAAAGCUAGGGGAGCAAACGGG